GAUGAACGCUGGCGGCGUGCCUAAUACAUGCAAGUCGAGCGAACGGACGAGAAUCUUGCUUCUCUGAUGUUAGCGGCGGACGUGUGAGUAACACGUGUAUAAUCUACCUAUAAUACUGGUAUAACUUCGGGAAACCGGAUCUAAUACCGGAUAAUAUUUUGAACCGCAUUGGUCAAUAGUGAAAUACGGUCGUUCGGUCACUACUCGAUGGAUCCGCGCUGCAUGAGCUAGUUGUGAGGGUAACGGCUUACCAAGGCAACGAUGCAUAGCCGAACUGAGAGGGUGAUCGGCCACACUAGAACUGAGACGCGGACAAGGCUCCUGCGGGAGGGACCAGUAGGGAAUCUGACGCAGUAGGCGAAAGCCUGACGGAACGACGCCGCGUGAGUGAUGGAGGUCUUCGGUUCGUAAAACUCUGUUUUUAGGUAAGAACAUAUGUGUAAGUAACUGUGCACAUCGUGGCGGUAACUAAUAAGAAAGCAACGGCUAACUACGUG
rnacentral:rRNA from 1 species